AUUGAACGCUGGCGGCAUGCUUUACACAUGCAAGUCGAACGGCAGCACGGGAGCUUGCUCCUGGUGGCGAGUGGCGAACGGGUGAGUAAUAUAUCGGAACGUGUCCAAUAAUGGGGGAUAACUAGUCGAAAGAUUAGCUAAUACCGCAUACGCCCUGAGGGGGAAAGUGGGGGAUCUUCGGACCUCACGUUAAUGGAGCGGCCGAUAUCUGAUUAGCUAGUUGGUGGGGUAAAGGCCCACCAAGGCGACGAUCAGUAGCUGGUCUGAGAGGACGACCAGCCACACUGGGACUGAGACACGGCCACGACUACUCCGGGAGGCAGCAGUGGGGAAUUUUGGACAAUGGGGGCAACCCUGAUCCAGCCAUGCCGCGUGAGUGAAGAAGGCCUUCGGGUUGUAAAGCUCUUUCGCAAGGGAAGAAACGAUGCAGGUGAAUAAUCUGCGUUAAUGACGGUACCUUGAUAAGAAGCACCGGCUAACUACGUGCCAGCAGCCGCCGUAA
rnacentral:rRNA from 1 species